AUUGAACGCUGGCGGCAGGCCUAACACAUGCAAGUCGAGCGGAGCGGCGGACGGGCGAGUAAUGCCCAGGAAGCUGCCUGGUCGUGGGGGAUAAGGUACGGAAACGGGAGCUAAUACAGCAUACUUUCAGCUGAGCCUAGGUGGGAUUAGCGAGUUGGUGGGGCAACGGCCUACCAAGGCGACGAUCCGUAACAGGUCUGAGAGGAUGAUCAGUCACACUGGAACUGAGACACGGUCCAGACUCCUACGGGAGGCAGCAGUGGGGAAUAUUGGCCAAUUGGCGAAAGCCUGACCCAGCCAUGCCGCGUGUGUGAAGAAGGUCUUCGGAUUGUAAAGCUCUGUAAGUUGGGAGGCGUUACCAACAGAAGAAGCACCGGCUAACUUCGUGCCAGCAGCCGCGGUAAUUC
rnacentral:rRNA from 1 species